CGGGGCGUAGCUCAGUCUGGUAGUAGCGCGGCGUUUGGGUCGCCGAGGUCGUCGGUUCGAAUCCGGCCGCCCCGA
rnacentral:tRNA from 1 species